GGAGGGGUGCGAGCGUUAAUCGGAAUUACUGGGCGUAAAGCGCGCGUAGGGCGGCUAGGUCAGUCGGGAUGUGAAAGCCCCGGGCUUAACCUGGGAAUUGCACUCGAAACUGCCUGGCUAGAGUAUGGGAGAGGGAAGUGGAAUUUCCGGUGUAGCGGUGAAAUGCGUAGAUAUCGGAAGGAACACCAGUGGCGAAGGCGACUUCCUGGCCCAAUACUGACGCUCAGGUGCGAAAGCGUGGGUAGCGAACAGGAUUAGAUACCCUGGUAGUCCACGCCGUAAACGAUGAGAACUAGAUGUCGGGAGGAUUUGCCUUUCGGUGUCGCAGCUAACGCAUUAAGUUCUCCGCCUGGGGAGUACGCCGGCAACGGUA
rnacentral:rRNA from 1 species